rnacentral:misc_RNA from 1 species
UGGGUGGCUCAUUAAGUGGGAGUAGAAUGUAUUAUCAGGCUCAAUAGGAUCGAUCAAGAGAAAGCAUUUUCCACCUGAUCUCACCGAGCACUAUUCACCUUGUUCCAAUUAGGCACCCCACUGAUGUCGUCCAAUAAUGGCGAAUGUUCAGCAAACAACCCCUUUUUCACCUUCUUGAUAAAUGCAAUGCAAGAAAGGUACAUGAACUCUUUCGAAAAAUUUUCCAAAAUAUCUUCGUUGUGAAUUGACUUGGGCUUCAUAUACUUGUGAUCAAUCA